UACAUUUGAAGUCUCGGAGCCGGGUGUUGGUUCCGGUAGCGAUCGAGGGAAAUUAGUACCGAAGUCCGGGAUGGAAGAUGGCGAGAAAAGCUGUGUAUAUUUCUGCGGUGCCCGUACCGCAAACCGACACAGGUAGGUAGGAAGAAGAUUCUAAGGCCAACGGGAGAAGGGUUGUUAAGGAACUCGGCAAAUUGACCCCGUAACUUCGGGAGAAGGGGUGCUCUAGAGAUAGAGCCGCAGAGAAUCGGCCCAAGCAACUGUUUACCAAAAACACAGGUUUGUGCUAAAUCGAAAGAUGACGUAUACGAGCUGACGCCUGCCCGGUGCUGGAAGGUUAAGAGGAGAUGUGCAAGCAUUGAAUCGAAGCCCCAGUGAACGGCGGCCGUAACAAUAACGGUCCUAAGGUAGCGAAAUUCCUUGUCAGGUAAGUUCUGACCCGCAUGAAAGGCGUAAUGAUUUGGGCACUGUCUCGACAGCCCGCCCGGCGAAAUUGUAGUACCGGUGAAGAUGCCGGUUACCCGCGACAAAACGGAAAGACCCCAUGGAGCUUUACUGUAGCCUAAUAUUGGGUUUCGAUGUUGCAUGCACAGGAUAGAUGGGACACUGGGAAGCAAGUGCUUUGGCAUUUGUGGAGUGGCCGUUGGGAUACCAUCCUUGCGAUAUUGGAAUUCUAACCUGCGCCUUUGAAUCAAGGCGGGGGACAUUGUUAGGUGGGCAGUUUGACUGGGGCGGUCGCCUCCUAAAGAGUAACGGAGGCGUUCAAAGGUUCGCUCAGCUUGAACGGAAAUCAAGCAAAAGAGUGCAAACGCAGAAGCGAGCCUAACUGCGAGACUGACGGGUCGAGCAGUAACGAAAGUUGGAGUUAGUGAUCCGGUGGUAUGAGAGUGGAAAUGCCAUUGCUCAACGGAUAAAAGUUACCCUGGGGAUAACAGGCUGAUCUCCCCCAAGAGUCCACAUCGACGGGGAGGUUUGGCACCUCGAUGUCGGCUCAUCGCAUCCUGGGGCUGUAUUCGGUCCCAAGGGUUUGGCUGUUCGCCAAUUAAAGCGGUACGCGAGCUGGGUUCGGAACGUCGUGAGACAGUUCGGUCCCUAUCUGUCGUGGGCGCAGGAUAUUUGAUGGGAGCUGUUCCUAGUACGAGAGGACCGGAGCGGACGUACCUCUAGCGCACCAGUUGUUCUGCCAAGGGCAUAGCUGGGCAACUAUGUACGGAUCGGAUAAACGCUGAAAGCAUCUAAGCGUGAAGCCGACCCAAAGAUAAGAUAUCCCAUUGUUUCAAACAAGUAAGACCCCUUGAAGACUACAAGGUUGAUAGGCACGAUGUGUAAGUGGAGUGAUCCAUUCAGCAAGCGUGUACUAAUAGGUCGAGGGCUUGACC
rnacentral:rRNA from 1 species